rnacentral:rRNA from 1 species
UACGGAGGGUGCAAGCGUUUGUCCGGAUUUAUUGGGUUUAAAGGGUGCGUAGGCGGCUUAUUAAGUCAGGGGUGAAAGACUGCAGCUCAACUGUAGCAGUGCCUUUGAUACUGAUGAGCUUGAGUACAGAUGAGGCUGGCGGAAUGGGUGGUGUAGCGGUGAAAUGCGUAGAUAUCAGGAGGAACACCGGUGGCGAAGGCGGGUCUCUGGGCCGUAACUGACGCUGAGGAGCGAAAGCGUGGGGAGCAAACAGG